rnacentral:rRNA from 1 species
GACAGAGAUGCCAAGCGUUGUUCGGAAUCACUGGGCAUAAAGGGCGCGUAGGCGGCUUCGUAAGUCAGGGGUGAAAUCCCCCGGCUCAACCGGGGAAUUGCUUUUGAUACUGCGAGGCUUGAGGUCGGAAGGGGAAAGUGGAAUUCCUGGUGUAGCGGUGAAAUGCGUUGAUAUCAGGAGGAACGCCGGCGGCGAAAGCGACUUUCUGGUCCGAUUCUGACGCUGAGGCGCGAAAGCUAGGGGAGCAAACGGG